rnacentral:sRNA from 1 species
ACUAUGGAUAAAAAAAGAAGAACAAGGAUCCUUAAACAAAAGCAAUAAUCUAGUGUUUAAACAAGGAUCCUUAAAUUAGCUUACAACACAAAGGGUCUCUACAUAUUGAUGUGCUUCAAUUCAUAAUGAAAUUCGAAAUGGCGAACCAUAAACAAAAUCUGAAAAGUGCCCAUUUGCUAGCUAGCUCUCCUCAUAUCCAAAAAGCUAAGAUUCUUUCAGAAACACUAACAAUUGAAAUUUGGACAAACCCACAAGCUAGUAGAACUAACCGGAGUAGGAGUUGAGAGAGAGGUCGAGCUUGGUCGUCGCCGAGAGAGAGCUUUGUCGCCGGGAGAGAGAGCGUCGUUGCCGAGAGAGAGAGAAGAGAAGAAAAUUGAUGUGUUGAAAAAAUUGAUGGGCCAACCAUAAACCGUGUGGGCUAGCCCAUUAAACCCAUGGACAAAAUUGGUCUUUAGACCAUAUAGCCCGUUUUCAUUACGGGCCGACCAUGGACUGUCCAUAAUGUUGUGGACUGGGCUUAGCCCAUGGUCAGAUGACCAUUUGACACUUCUAAUUGCUUUCAUCUUUAUUUGUUAAUUUGGUCCAUUAGCUCCUUCGAUACUUGUACAAGUCUCCAUUCCGAUUUAAAUAAUAUCUCUUGUCUCAAAAAAAGGACUAAACUUGGGCACAAAGAAACCAACCCUUUUUAACUACUACUAGACCACCAUCAUGUUGGUGUAUUGCUCUCAUCUUACUUGA